rnacentral:rRNA from 1 species
CAUGCGAGUCGAACGAAGGUGCCCCUUCGGGGGUAUCCUUAGUGGCGGACGGGUGAGUAACGCGUGGGAACCUGCCCUAGUGUGGGGAAUAACUACGGGAAACUGUAGCUAAUACCGCAUACGCCCUACGGGGGAAAGGCUUCGGCCGCACCGGGAGGGGCCCGCGUCGGAUUAGCUUGUUGGUGGGGUAAUGGCCUACCAAGGCUGCGAUCCGUAACUGGUCUGAGAGGACGAUCAGUCACACUGGAACUGAGACACGGUCCAGACUCCUACGGGAGGCAGCAGUGGGGAAUUUUGCACAAUAGGGGAAACCCUGAUGCAGCGACGCCGCGUGGGUGAAGAAGGCCUUAGGGUUGUAAAACCCUUUCAGCAGGGAAGAUGAUGACGGUACCUGCAGAAGAAGCCCCGGCAAACUCCGUGCCAGCAGCCGCGGUAAUACGGAGGGGGCUAGCGUUGUUCGGAAUUACUGGGCGUAAAGCGCACGUAGGCGGUUUGGAAAGUUGGGUGUGAAAGCCCGGGGCUCAACCCCGGAACUGCACUCAAAACUUCCAGGCUUGAGGUCUGGAGAGGUGGGCGGAAUUCCGAGUGUAGAGGUGAAAUUCGUAGAUAUUCGGAAGAACACCGGUUGCGAAGGCGGCUCACUGGCCAGAGUCUGACG